GAGCAGCGGCGUUUACCAAUGUGAUGCUCUAAAGGGUAAAACAAAAGUAACCUAUACUCUCUCUCUGCUACCUCCGUUAAGCCGCCAGCGCCGGCGGCGGCUCCGCCGUGGCACUACAAUUUCAUGGAUGGAGUUUGAAGCUCCACGCACACACACUUCGAAAAUCCUUGGAAUUGGAGGUUUGGAGGCCGAUGAAGACGACGAAGAGUGCCACAACGAGCUUCGACUCGCCUAUUUUGUCUAUAUGGAGACGUGAACUCGGCCAACUUUCUUCUCGAAACUUCGUUAGCCGUAUUGCUGCCUCCGAGGAUAUGGUGCUUCGUCUUGAUGUUCAGCGGAAACUGCUCCGGCACCGGGAUCACGUGUGAUCUGUGUGUUUCAAUGAAUCUGGUGAUAUCCUCGUAUCAUGUUCCGAAGAUCGGAAGAUCAAAUUGUGGGACUGGGAAUCGGGUCGAGUCAAACAUUCUUUCCAUUCGGGCCACAAGCGUGGCGUUUUGAAAGCUAAGACAAUGCCUUACUCAGAGGAUCGGAUCAUCGUUACAUGCGCUUCUGAUGGCCAGGUGAGGUAUGCGGAGAUUCAUGAAAGCAGAGUGGAGACAAAACCGCUUUCCGAUGAGGAUGGGGCUGUACCGUACGGACUAGCCAUUGAACCUGGAAGCCCUCAAAUUUUUAUGCAUGUAGUUCGAAUGGGGUUCAACAUUUUGACCUGAGAACUCAAAGAUGUAUUAAACUUUUUGGUUGUGAGUCUGUUGCCAGCACUGUAGCUUUUCGUCAUUCUGUAUCUCUAAAUGCAAUCACCAUUGAUCCAAGAAAUCCAAAUCUGGUUGCAACUGGAGGACGUGAUCCAUUUGCUCGAGUUUAUGACAUUCGCAAAUAUAAACGCGAUGGAUCAUCUGAAUAUGGUCAGCCGGCUAACUUAUAUCGCCCCCGUCACAUAGUUAAUCAAAGAAAUUUCAUAACAGCGUUGGCAUAUUCUUGUCAGAGCGAGCUUCUCGCCUCUUACAGUAAAGAAUCUAUGUACCUGUUCACCAAGGAUGUCGGAUUAGGGCCAAUUUCUUCUCAGGAUUCAUCAUCUAUAAUAAAUGCUGAGAAUAGUAUAAAAGCUGCUCCACAAUCCUAUCAAGGGAACUUGAACCGUGACAUCCUGUACAGCAUGAAGGAGGUGGACUUUUUCGGACCUAAAUGUGAGUAUGUUGUGAGGGAACAGAUAUUGGUAAAAUUUGCAUUUGGAAUAAGAAAGAUGGUAAGCUUAUAAGAGUUAUUAGAGCAGAAAAAUUUAAGGUAAUCAGUGUUCAGAGACAUCCUCAUGCUACAGUGUUAGCCAGUUGUGGAAGAGGUAUCAAAAUUUGGGUUCCAAAUGCCAUUGAGAAAGCCAUUCCACUAACAAAUGAGGACGGGGAUAGGAUCGUGAAUUGCACGCCUCGAAUGGUAAAGGAAAGUUGUUAUCCUGAUGACGACCCUCAGUACGAUGAUGGAUAUGACGAUGGCGAUGUAGAUGAUGCAGACGAUGACGAUGUAGUGGAUAUAGAUGAUGAAGAUGAUGUAUAUGAUGAAGACGAUGUAGAUGAUGAAGAUUAUACUGAUUAAUGAAAUCUGUAGUUCUUGUUGA